UACGUAGGCAGCAAGCGUUGUUCGGAGUUACUGGGCGUAAAGGGUGUGUAGGCGGUCUUCUAAGUUCGGUGUGAAAUCUCCCGGCUCAACUGGGAGGGUGCGCCGAAAACUGGGAGGCUAGAGUGCGGGAUGGGAGAGUGGAAUUCCUGGUGUAGCGGUGAAAUGCGCAGAUAUCAGGAGGAACACCAAUUGCGAAGGCAGCUCGCUGGGACGUUACUGACGCUGAGACGCGAAAGCGUGGGGAGCAAACAGG
rnacentral:rRNA from 1 species